CUAUUAUUUUCCAUGUUGGCAGCAAAGGAGGAAAAUAGAAGGUUGAAUGAAUAGAUAAGUCAAGAAAAAGGAAAAAAGGAAAUAUUUGCUGUGUAGCUUCUAAUAUUUUUUUCAUAUAUAAUUGACUAUUGUUUUUUUGUUCAACUCAAGUCUCUCUCUCUAUAUGGUUUUGUAUGUAAAGAUGAAAGGUUUUGCUUAGCACCAAAAGAGCUAAACACAUGAGUUAUUUCUUAUGAAAAAAAAAAUAUUAUUAGCUCUACCAUCUCAUAAAAAUUGAUGGGAAAGAAGAAAGUUGUGAAGAAAACAAAAGAGUUAUCAGUAGCAAUAGCAGAAUCAUCAGCAAUGAGUGGAGAUUCACAACAACAACAACAAAUUACUCCUAGAAAAAGAGGAAGACCAAGAAAGAUUAUUAGUAUUGUAAAAGAAGAUGAAGAAGAAGUUUCUGCUGAAUUAAAGAAACUCAAAACAAAUGAAGUUGAAGAAUCACAAGGUGAAAACAAAAAAGAAGAUGAAUUUGAAGAGGAUAAAAAUUUACAACCACAAAAGCAACAACCUACAAGGAGCAGAGCUAGAAGAAAAAGCAAACCAAGAAAGAGUUGCUAAUUUAAUUUUUUCUGAUCAACAGUAUUCCCACUUAUCCUCUAACGAUGUGACUCUGAAUCGAUCGAUGAUAGAUGUGCUAAACUACUUGAGCUACUAAAAUUCAUGUGUCAAGAAUCCCCUUUUUCUUUUAGGUAAUUUUUGAAACAAAGUAAUUUCAUCUUUCCUAGUUUAAUUUCUUAGUGCUAUAGCUAGUUUUUAAUUUUUUUUUAAUUUUGUUGUUUAGUAUGUCUAUUUUAAUUGUGAGGAAUAUUUUAGUUAGGGAGCAAUUGUUAUUAGCUUUACACUCUGGAUUGAAUUGUGAUAUGUCACAUUAAUGAAUUUUUGUGUUAAGUGUCA